rnacentral:lncRNA from 1 species
GUCGGUUGAGGAGUUUAAGUUCUUGAACUCUUCGUAUGCGCCGGUCUUGAGGCAGCUAGAGUCUGCUAAGUUGCAGAAGUUUUACUUUGAGAACCAGGCGGAGAACGCGACUAGAGAUGAACAUAACAUCAAGUUCAAGAACCCCAAGUAUCUCUCGGUGUUGAACCAUCUGAGAUUCUACUUACCGGAGAUGUAUCCGAAGCUGAAUAAGAUCUUGUUCUUGGACGAUGAUGUUGUGGUGCAGAAGGACGUGACUGGGUUGUGGAAGAUUAAUUUAGAUGGGAAGGUGAAUGGAGCUGUUGAGACGUGCUUUGGCUCUUUUCAUCGAUAUGGUCAAUACCUAAACUUCACUCAUCCUCUGAUCAAAGAGAGCUUUAAUUAGAGUCUGCUAAGUUGCAGAAGUUUUACUUUGAGAACCAGGCGGAGAACUCGACUAGAGAUGAACAUAACAUCAAGUUCAAGAACCCCAAGUAUCUCUCGGUGUUGAACCAUCUGAGAUUCUACUUACCGGAGAUGUAUCCGAAGCUGAAUAAGAUCUUGUUCUUGGACGAUGAUGUUGUGGUGCAGAAGGACGUGACUGGGUUGUGGAAGAUUAAUUUAGAUGGGAAGGUGAAUGGAGCUGUUGAGACGUGCUUUGGCUCUUUUCAUCGAUAUGGUCAAUACCUAAACUUCACUCAUCCUCUGAUCAAAGAGAGCUUUAACCCCAAUGCUUGUGCUUGGGCCUUUGGGAUGAAUAUAUUUGAUCUCAAUGCUUGGAGGCGUGAGAAAUGCACUGAUCAAUACCAUUACUGGCAGAACUUGGUAAGUCCGUAUCUUUUCUUUGUAACUUAUGCAUAUCAAAUAAUCUCUUUAUCUUGUGUUGAUUGUGUGUUAAUCUCUCUUGAGCAGAAUGAAGACAGAAGUCUCUGGAAAUUAGGCACUCUGCCUCCGGGACUGAUGACAUUCUAUUCAAAGACGAAAUCACUGGACAAGUCAUGGCAUGUGCUUGGGUUAGGCUACAACCCAGGAGUGAGCAUGGACGAGAUUAAAAAAGCAGCAGUGAUACAUUACAAUGGAAACAUGAAACCAUGGCUCGACAUUGCUAUGAACCAAUACAAGUCUCUCUGGACUAAAUACGUCGACAACGAAAUGGAGUUUGUGCAGAUGUGCAAUUUUGGUCUUUAAAGAAAGAUAUCGAUGAAGAGGUAACCUCAAAUCGAUAUGUGUUCAGUCAUUCAGGGCAUUCUUUAGCUUAUAUACGUUUAUCUUUUACUAGGGAUUGGUCCGCCCUACGGGCGGGUAAGUUUACAAUAAAAUUCUUUAUAUUAAAAUAUAUUUUAAUUUUAUAAAACAUUUAAAAAUUAUUUUAAGUAUAAUUUGUUUUCUAAGAUCAUAUUGUAAAUUUCAUUUGUUAAACGUUAAACAACUGUUAUAAAUUUUCUUCUAAUAUCAUACCUUAUUUGUUAUUUGAGUUUCUAAGAAAAUGUAAAUUGGUAGUGCAUUAGGUUUGCAUUUGGAAUUGAUAUGUGUGAUACUGAUUUUAGUUUUUUUAAAAUGUUGUGUGUCAGGAAGUGUGAUUGCAUGAGGUCAUUUGGAUGAGGAAUUAAAUGUGAUGUGAGUGAGUUUGUAUGCUUCUGAAACUGAUUUAUAGUAUACAAUACCAGUAAAUUUGAUUUGUAUGAACAAUUUGAAUUGGAGAAGAAGUGUUCGGUUAAUAUAUUUCAAAACUUUAUGGGCUUUCAAGGAUUUUUGUGUUGUUGGUCGUUUAAGUUUGGAAUCCACACUCCAUUGAGUAACUGUUUUUUUUUUGCGCUUGGGAGCUCGUCAUCGUUUUGCUUGGAGUAUUUAUUUUUGCAAAACAGUUGAUAUUUAUACUUAUAUCAAGUGAUUCGUAAUAAAUUUAUGGUUAAACAUUUGGCCUCACAAUGUCUAUUUUAGUUAUUUCAAUCUCAUAGGAAUGAGUUUAUUUGUUUUAUACAACCAAUUCUCAUAGUUUAAUGUGAGUGACAUUCAUCCUACAUAAAAGUUGAAUAGGAGUAGUGUGUACUUUGUUUAAUCAUUUAUAAUCAGUUGGUAUAUUUUCUCUUUUUCAUAGUGGGAUGAUUGGUUUAAAGAACUUUAAUGGCAAAAAAGGAACCUUAAUGGCAAUCUGAAUUACGUUGGUUGAAUGAUGAUCUAAGGCAUAGCAAAGUCGGAUUUAGAAAGGUGGUAAAAUCAAGAUUUAGCCAUAGGUCAAUGAAAAUGUUAAACCGAUGGAGGCAUUAGUAGGAAAGCAAUGGUUUGUCAGCUCGAUCAGUUGGUCUAAAUGUUAAAUUAGUAACGCCAAUUAAAACCAAAGAUUCCAAUAGGAAAACUUGAAAAAACUUGUGAAAUGGAAGGUUUUGAACACGAAUGGGUUCAUUUAGUAUAUUGAUAUGUUUGUGAUUUUAAUGUUUUUAUUUGUGUGUUCCUCGGUUAAUUUAUUCUCAAAUGUUUUUAUAUGCUUAUUUGAUGAUAAGUGAUUUUUUUUAUAACAUGAUUAAGAUUAGCAAUUUUGUGAUAAGUUAACUAUCACAUUAUGUGUCAUGUUUUACAAUUAUAUUUAUUCAUAUUUUGGUUUCCUAAUAUUAUAAUUAUUAUUUUUAUAGGUAUUUUAACGGCUAAUGACUAAUUUUUUAGUUGUUGAUUUAUAUUUGUAAUAGUAAUUAAAAAUUCUAAAUUAUUGUUCUGCUUUAUUUUACUUAACUUUGCUUUCAAUUAAUAUUUAUUUUAUUAAUUGUGUUUUUACAGUCUUAAUAUUGUUUUUUUUUGGAAUUACCAUUUUCAUUAUAAAUUAAAAGGUUUUGGUUCAGUAUAUUUAUGUAUUAGUAUAGCUUUUUCGUUUCUAGAUUGAAGAGAAAAAACAAUGAAAAUAUUUGAAGUUUAAUAGAAUUUCAAAUUAAAUGUUAUAUAAAUUAUAUAAAUAUUUGAUACACGUCAUUUUAUAUUUAUUAUUUUAGUUUUUAUUUAGAUUUGUAACAAUUUAUGUAACUGGAAUUUUUAUCACAAAUAUACAAUUUAAUUGUCCCAGCAUAUCUUUACAUUUUAAUCAAUAUGUUUAAUUAAUGUUAUUUCAUAUUCGUUUGAUUGUAAUUUCGAUAUUGGUCAUCAUGUUUGUUACGGUUAGUAUAGCACAUCAAAAUUGUGAGAAUCUGAGAACCUGUUUUUGUAAGCUUCCACUCUUUGGCUCAACAGCCCCAUAGUAUGGAAUCGAAACCUGUUUGGGCACUUAUACAACCAAUUUGAGCAUGGAAGAGUGUGAUUCUUGUCGUGUCUAAAACUUGUGAGCAGAAGUUGGGUUACGGAACUAAAGACGAUAAGUGAUAAUCGUAGGAAUUUUCUUUAUUGUUAGGAUAAUUUCAAGACAGAGGAGAUGAUUUCAGGGUGCCCAAAUACAAAGUAAAGAUAAUCUUAUUCAAGAGUUGUGUUAUAAAGUCUUGUGUGCCUUCUUUGAUGGGACCCUCUGGCGCAGGAAACAGAGCUUCUCCAGCAGUGUUUCCGCUCAAUACAUUAGGUACUCCAGGUGAUGUGUCCGUAUCACUUCGUUCGUCCGCCGGUCGGUUAUGCUUCUGGAGGUGUUCUCGGACCCAUGGAGUCAGAGCCAUUGCAGAAGAUACACGUAGAUACUCUAUUUUUAUGCACCUCCACAAUUAUCAGAACUGGAUGAUCAGUUGACGUCACUCCCACGCAAUCUGCAGUUGAGAACGUGUAAGAUUCUUGAGAAAGUGUGUAGGAGGGAAGUGAUACAAACAUCCUGUUGUUCAAGAUUCUUACUCUUGGAAGAAGCUCUAGCCAGAGCCGCUUUCAUUGUUAAAGUAGAAAUGAGUGUCAGAUGUUGUAUUAAGGAAUAGUCGACCUGCAAGCAGAACUAAGUAAGCUCCAUAAGAUGUUCUGAAUCAGAACUUCUGAUGCACAAAGUGAAUGCACAGACUCUGUGAUCUUGACGAUCUGGGUAAGUUAGGUGUAGAUCGCAACUGUUGAGUCUGAAAAUCUGAAGUGAUUGUUGAUUCUGUAAGACUAUGUAGCAAAUUUUGAAUAAGCUAGUUGUGGAGUUCAUUCACAGAGUGCUCUCGCUCCUUAGUUGUGGCAGCUUUAGUGUUUGCUUCCUCGAUAUUCGUAGAAGUUUAAAAAAAAAAUGAAAGAAUACAAAAAUAAAUAGUUGAUAAGCUGUAUAGCAGUGAUUUUCAAAAUAGUGUGGGCAUAAAAAUGAAAAUUUGGAUAUAUUAGUCGACACAUACUCUAGUGAAAGACAUUACCUUGUUACAAUAUGCAAUCUCCAACUGUUUAAUGUUUCUGGCCUCUAAGCACACACCAGUUAUCUCCAUUCCAGUACACGGGGAAACAAUGCCUCCUCACCAAGUUCAACAUGUCAGAAACAUAGAUUGGAUAUAAGCACUCUAAAGGUUAAACAUGUUAACAUUUUAAAACACUGCAGAGAACAAUGGUACCUCAUAUAGACGACUCUAAACAGGUGCACCAGCUAUCCCCUCUUGUAGAAGACGCAAAAUCUUCUGAAAGAGUUUUAAUUGAUUGCUUAUUCGAGUUACUUUUAAGGAAUGGAAGUAAACCUGGUGAUCGGCGGUGGGACUGUCUAGUGGAGAUGAUGCGAGCGCCGAUGUUGUCCUGUCGAAUCUGCUGCGCUGAACCAGUUCCUGUUGUUUUAAAUCACAUUAAUCAGACCAAAUAUUAUGCGAGUAUAUUCAUUCUUCAAUUAAUUAUUGAGUGGCAAAAUUAAAAAUGAAAUAAUCAAUUGUUACAAAAUGGACAGAAACUUUAUGUUUGUUUAAUUUUUUUAAAAAUUUUGUGCAGUUAAGUGUUAGUUGAUAAUAAUUUUACGCAAACAAUACUUUUAAGUAUUUAAGCUGCUGGUUUCAAAUACUUUGGUAAUAAAAUGUUAAUGUCCUAAAGUAUAAGGGUGAGACUGGGGUUUUAAUAAUAUUGAGAGUUUAUAUCUACACUAUAAAUUAGUAAUUGUUUAUUAAACCAAUGAUUAAUGACAUUAACGUGUCUUCUUCACUAAAAUGUCUUGAGAUCUCUAUCCAUCCCAUCACUCUCCAGAGGCUAAUUCACACUCUAUCGGGCAAGCAAGAACCUCAUCCCCAUCUGAACUUUUUUUUUUUUAAACUGACUUAUAAAAGGUAAAGCUAAAUGGCGGUGGCCUUCCAUGGAGGCCGGAACGGCGUCGGAUCGGGACUCCGCAGUUUCUUCUCGUACCGGAUCUUCAUCUCCGCCUUGUUCUCUUUCCUCUUCCUCGCCACCUUCUCCGUUGUCCUCAACUCCUCUCGUCACCAACCUCAUCUCGAUCACGUAAGCUUCCGAUUCGUUUCACAAUCCGAAUCAAAAUUUAGAAAUGAAUUUAGAAUCUGAGCUUCGAUUUUUGGUGUUUAGACAUUGCCGAGGACGUUUCAAUCGGAUCCGUUGAAAGCUAGGUUAGAUCUGAUCCACAAGCAAGCCACCGAUCACCUCACGCUUGUGAACGCUUACGCUGCUUACGCUAGGAAGCUCAAGCUCGACGCGUCGAAGCAGCUGAAGCUCUUCGAAGAUCUGGCGGUUAACUUCUCCGAUCUGCAGGCCAAACCUGGACUGAAGCUCGAAAACGGGAACGCGAUCGAGGAGGAUGCGUUUCGGCAGAUCGAGAAAGAGGUUAAAGAUAAGGUGAAGACCGCGAGGAUGAUGAUCGUUGAGUCCAAAGAGAGUUACGAUACACAGCUCAAGAUCCAGAAGCUCAAGGAUACGAUCUUCGCUGUUCAAGAACAGUUGACGAAAGCUAAGAAAAACGGCGCCGUUGCGAGCUUGAUCUCGGCUAAGUCGGUUCCCAAGAGUCUUAACUGUUUGGCUAUGAGGCUUGUUGGUGAGAGGAUCUCUAACCCUGAGAAGUAUAAGGAUGCUCCGUUUGAUUCGGCUGUGUUGGAGGAUCCGAGUCUUUAUCACUACGCGGUUUUCUCUGAUAAUGUGAUUGCUGUUUCCGUUGUGGUGAGGUCGGUUGUGGUGAACGCUGAGGAGCCGUGGAAGCAUGUGUUUCAUGUGGUGACUGAUAGGAUGAAUCUCGCCGCUAUGAAGGUUUGGUUUAAGAUGCGUCCUUUGGACCGUGGUGCUCGUGUUGAGAUUAAGUCGGUUGAGGAGUUUAAGUUCUUGAACUCUUCGUAUGCGCCGGUCUUGAGGCAGUUAGAGUCUGCUAAGUUGCAGAAGUUUUACUUUGAGAACCAGGCGGAGAACUCGACUAGAGAUGAACAUAACAUCAAGUUCAAGAACCCCAAGUAUCUCUCGGUGUUGAACCAUCUGAGAUUCUACUUACCGGAGAUGUAUCCGAAGCUGAAUAAGAUCUUGUUCUUGGACGAUGAUGUUGUGGUGCAGAAGGACGUGACUGGGUUGUGGAAGAUUAAUUUAGAUGGGAAGGUGAAUGGAGCUGUUGAGACGUGCUUUGGCUCUUUUCAUCGAUAUGGUCAAUACCUAAACUUCACUCAUCCUCUGAUCAAAGAGAGCUUUAACCCCAAUGCUUGUGCUUGGGCCUUUGGGAUGAAUAUAUUUGAUCUCAAUGCUUGGAGGCGCGAGAAAUGCACAGAUCAAUACCAUUACUGGCAGAACUUGGUAAGCCCCAUAUCUUUCUUAGUAACUUAUGCAUUUCAAAAAAUCUCUUUUAUCUUGUGUUGAUUGUGUGCUAAUCUCUGAGCAGAAUGAAGACAGAAGUCUCUGGAAAUUAGGCACUCUGCCUCCGGGACUGAUGACAUUCUAUUCAAAGACGAAAUCACUGGACAAGUCCUGGCAUGUGCUUGGGUUAGGCUACAACCCGGGAGUGAGCAUGGACGAGAUAAAAAAAGCAGCAGUGAUACAUUACAAUGGGAACAUGAAACCAUGGCUAGACAUUGCUAUGAACCAAUACAAGUCUCUCUGGACUAAAUACGUCGACAACGAAAUGGAGUUUGUGCAGAUGUGCAAUUUUGGUCUUUAAAGAAAGAUAUCGAUGAAGAGGUAACCUCAAAUCGAUAUAUGUUCAGUCAUUCAGGGCAUUCUUUAGCUUAUAUACGUUUAUCUUUUAUAUAUUAUAUAGGGUUACAAAAGUGUUUUGCUUUGUUCUUUCUGUCAUAGUUUUGUUCUUUAUUUAUAUUUUGUGUAACUCUUUCACAUCAAAAGCUUUAUCCAAAACUACAAUGUGUUAAGGUUUGUUUCAUGCAAAGUUUUGACUUAUGAUUGAAACAUUAAAGAGAAAUGGAUUAGGAAGAUAAUGAAUUUUUAUCAUAUGUUGAUUUAGUUUCAUUUUAUUACUAAAAUCAUGAUGAGCUAACUACUUUACAAAACACAAUAAGAUUUUAUCAUAUGUUUGUAUAUCUACAAAAAUAGUUAGAAAUUCAACAAAGUUGUUAUGACCGUUUCUCACCGCAAGACAGAAACUCAAAGAUCCUGUCUCGAGUCAAUGUACGUCCAAACUGCACAAACCCAUCGCACCUUCCGGUCUCUCUGUCUAGGUCAACGAGCGUUGACUUCAAUUUCUCCAGUUCCUCCUCCAUCCCUCCCAUAGCAAAUGCCACAGACGACCGUUUAUUCACGGCGAUGUCCACCGUUAGUCUAAUGGAUCUCUCCACCGCCUCCAACAUACUCACAAGUCUGCUCAUCUUCUCAACCUCCUUGAGAGCCACCAUCGUUUCCCUCUCCAUCGACGUCACUGCUGUCUUUUCCCGUUUCAGAGUUUCCGACGACUCUCUCCACCUCGAAGCAGCAAAGUUAGUCACUGCUUCAACCGGUACAGGUACAAAGAUACCCGCCACGAUUUUUCCCACGGCCACUAGAGCGAUCAUCGCCGCCGCAACCUUGAUCCUUGGAUGCUGUCUUUAUGGAGUACAUUAUAUCAGAUCAAUCCAAAAUACUUUCCUAAAGGUCCAGAUGUGAUGAUUCCUCAAGAUGAAUUAACUGAUCAGCCCAAAUAUAGGAUCUUAUAUCAUAAGCAGGAGACACUGGAGCCUGAAUUGAUGGCAGAGUCAGGUACACCAAGUUUUUAUUCCUAUCAUGUUUUUAAGGAGGGGAUUCAUGGUGUGGAUACUUUGCUCCAUCAUGUUAGCUUAGGACUAUGUUAUGCUACUUAACAGUGAACUUUCUGUCUAGUUAAUAAUGGUAAUUGCUAGAAAAAUGUCAAUGUAGAGAAAUGACUUUUAAUGUUCUGGUUCAGUUGGCUCGUGAACUCUUGCAUAAUAUGCCUCUUAUUGUUUUAGCAGACAUCAUAGAAAGAGCCCGUGGAAUGUCACCCGGAAAAUUAUCCAAGGACAAAACUAAACCAGACUGCUUUCUCAAGAUGGUACUAUGCACAUCCAUUAUAUUUUUUUUUUGAUUUUAUGUUAUAUAUGCUAUGCAACCUUGCUGGUUAUGCUAUUUUUUUAUGCUGUGUUACCUUGAAUACGGAUUUGAUGGUCCUUCUUGGUCAAAAUAUGUUUUCUUAAAAUAUCUUAUUUCUGGUAAGCCUGGAUGAUAUGAGUUUUAUUCCCUUGGCUUGCAUUUAAAUAUUUCAAUCAUGCAGAUUAAAAAUGAAGUCUUGACGAAAGCUGGAAGUACAAAGGAUGUCCGCCACUUCGAGUUCCAAUUUGUUUCUUCUGUAAGUAACUUUGCUAUCACUUACUAACUAGUUUCAAUCAAUUUCUCCUCUUUUAUGAAGUGGUUGUUCAAUUAAUUUCUCCUCUUUGUUUUUUUUUUAAUUCAUUUAAGAGUAUCAAAUAUGAAGUGGGCGAUGUUGUUGAGCUUCUUCCAAGCCAAGAUUCUUCAGCAAUAGAUGCGUUUAUAAAACGCUGUCAUUUGGACCCGGAAUCAUUCAUCACAGUAAGUAGCUCCACUCUGUUGACAUGAUGAUCCCAGAUUGUCUAACUGAAGUAAAUUUUGAUAACUAAUUUACUUUCAGGUUUGUCCGAGAGAGACAGUGAAUAAUGGUUCAUGUGGAGAAGUAAUUACACACCAUGUCCCUAUCAAGCUUAAGACUUUUGUUGAAUUAACAAUGGACGUUACAUCUGCUUCACCUCGACGAUACUUCUUCGAGGUAAGAGUCCUAAUGAUCUUGAAUAUCAGAUUUUUAUAAUGUAAUUUUAAGUAUUUGAUGGAAGUCGUUACAAUGUAUCUUCUCGGUGUCAGGUUAUGAGCUUCUAUGCAACAGCUGAACUUGAGAAGGAAAGACUGCAAUACUUUGCCUCAGCCGAGGGACGUGAUGACCUCUACAAUUACAAUCAGAAGGAAAGAAAAAGCGUCCUUGAGGUAACCAAUUGGGGACACCAUGAUUCGUCUUGAACCAAAUAGAUCUUAUUGCUACUGCCUAUGUAGGUGCUAGAGGAUUUCUCUUCCGUGCAAAUGCCUUUUGAGUGGCUAGUACAGUUAGUACCAUCGCUAAAACCACGAGCUUUUUCGAUAUCUUCAUCUCCUUUGGCCCACCCUGGUCAAGUACAUUUGACAGUAAGCGUGGUAUCAUGGAUCACCCCUUCAUACCCUUAUAAGAGAACUCGAAAAGGUCUAUGCUCCUCUUGGCUCGCAAGCCUCACACCUGAGCAAGGUUAGCACUGUGUUUCUAUGUAUUAUUUUAACUGACUCAGGUCUUUGUUUCUACGUAUUUAUCUUACAUUUUGUGUUCCGUUGUGUUUAGAGAUAAACAUACCGAUUUGGUUUCACAAAGGCUCUCUUCCUGCUCCACCACAGUCGCUUCCACUCAUCUUAGUGGGACCUGGAACCGGAUGUGCCCCUUUCCGCGGGUUCAUAGCUGAGAGAGCCGUGCAAGCUCAGACCAGCCCGAUCGCACCAGUCAUGUUCUUCUUUGGUUGCAGGAACAAAGACACUGACUUUUUAUACAAAGACUUCUGGGAGUCUCAUGCAAGAGAAGGAGGCAUGCUCUCUGAAGUAAAAGGCGGAGGGUUUUACACAGCAUUCUCUAGAGACCAACCGAAGAAGGUUUACGUGCAACACAGGAUACUAGAGAUGAGGAAGAAAGUUUGGGAUUUGCUAUGUGAUGGAGCCGCCGUUUACGUGGCGGGCUCGUCCACGAAAAUGCCUUGUGAUGUGAUGUCGGCCUUGGAGGAGAUUGUGAUGGAGGAGACCGGAGGAUCAAAGGAAAUGGCUUCACGGUGGCUCAAGGCUUUGGAGAAAGCUGGGAGAUACAAUGUUGAAGCUUGGUCUUAAACCCAACUUCCUCCAUAUCAUGUAAUGUUUGAUUACUAGCUAUACGAAUCAUUGGAUUAUUUAUUUAUUUAAAUUGAUUUUAUAAUAUUCACAUUGAACGGUUCAAAUGAAGAUGAUUUGUUUGAUUGUAUACAUUUGAACUUUAUUUAUAAUUUAAUUUUAAUUUUUUUUAUAUAACGAGGUUCUUACCUUUUUCAUUUUAACUAGAGUUUGUUGAAUAAAUCAUUCACCUCACUGAAUAAUACAAGAUUUCAGUGUUUAUAUAAAAAUCAUCAAUUAAAUAACAUCAGAUUUUAAACAGAACUGAAAAUCAACGUACAAUGUCAAUUACUCAAUUUUUUUAUUUAUUAAUUUAUUGUAUAAUAACACUUUAGUUAUUUUUCAAAUGUUUUCGAUCGGCAAAUUUAAUAGAAUAUAUUUAUUCUUCAAUUAAUCAUUGAGUGGCAAAAUUAAAAAUGAAAUAAUCAAUUGUUAUAAAAUGGACAGAAACUAUUAUUUUUCUAAAUUUGUUUAUUUUUUUAAAAAAAAUUGUGCAGUCAAAGUGUUAGUUGAUAAUAAUUCUACACAAACAAUACUUUCAAGUAUUAAAGCUGCUGGUUUCAAAUACUUUGGUAAUAAAAUGUUAAUGUCCUAAAGUAUAUAGGUGAGACUGGGGUUUUAAUAAUAUUGAGAGUUUAUAUCUACACUAUAAAUUAGUAAUUGUUUAUUAAACCAAUGAUUAAUGACAUUAACGUGUCUUCUUCACUAAAAUGUCUUGAGAUCUCUAUCCAUCCCAUCACUCUCCAGAGGCUAAUUCACACUCUAUCGGGCAAGCAAGAACCUCAUCCCCAUCUGAACUUUUUUUUUUUUAAACUGACUUAUAAAAGGUAAAGCUAAAUGGCGGUGGCCUUCCAUGGAGGCCGGAACGGCGUCGGAUCGGGACUCCGCAGUUUCUUCUCGUACCGGAUCUUCAUCUCCGCCUUGUUCUCUUUCCUCUUCCUCGCCACCUUCUCCGUUGUCCUCAACUCCUCUCGUCACCAACCUCAUCUCGAUCACGUAAGCUUCCGAUUCGUUUCACAAUCCGAAUCAAAAUUUAGAAAUGAAUUUAGAAUCUGAGCUUCGAUUUUUGGUGUUUAGACAUUGCCGAGGACGUUUCAAUCGGAUCCGUUGAAAGCUAGGUUAGAUCUGAUCCACAAGCAAGCCACCGAUCACCUCACGCUUGUGAACGCUUACGCUGCUUACGCUAGGAAGCUCAAGCUCGACGCGUCGAAGCAGCUGAAGCUCUUCGAAGAUCUGGCGGUUAACUUCUCCGAUCUGCAGGCCAAACCUGGACUGAAGCUCGAAAACGGGAACGCGAUCGAGGAGGAUGCGUUUCGGCAGAUCGAGAAAGAGGUUAAAGAUAAGGUGAAGACCGCGAGGAUGAUGAUCGUUGAGUCCAAAGAGAGUUACGAUACACAGCUCAAGAUCCAGAAGCUCAAGGAUACGAUCUUCGCUGUUCAAGAACAGUUGACGAAAGCUAAGAAAAACGGCGCCGUUGCGAGCUUGAUCUCGGCUAAGUCGGUUCCCAAGAGUCUUAACUGUUUGGCUAUGAGGCUUGUUGGUGAGAGGAUCUCUAACCCUGAGAAGUAUAAGGAUGCUCCGUUUGAUUCGGCUGUGUUGGAGGAUCCGAGUCUUUAUCACUACGCGGUUUUCUCUGAUAAUGUGAUUGCUGUUUCCGUUGUGGUGAGGUCGGUUGUGGUGAACGCUGAGGAGCCGUGGAAGCAUGUGUUUCAUGUGGUGACUGAUAGGAUGAAUCUCGCCGCUAUGAAGGUUUGGUUUAAGAUGCGUCCUUUGGACCGUGGUGCUCGUGUUGAGAUUAAGUCGGUUGAGGAGUUUAAGUUCUUGAACUCUUCGUAUGCGCCGGUCUUGAGGCAGUUAGAGUCUGCUAAGUUGCAGAAGUUUUACUUUGAGAAUCAGGCGGAGAACGCGACUAGAGAUGAACAUAACAUCAAGUUCAAGAACCCGAAGUAUCUCUCGGUGUUGAACCAUUUGAGAUUCUACUUACCGGAGAUGUAUCCGAAGCUGAAUAAGAUCUUGUUCUUGGACGAUGAUGUUGUGGUGCAG